rnacentral:lncRNA from 1 species
UUUAUUUCUGAUUUCUUCAAAAUAUCUUAGUUAUAAAUUCCAGAAGCACUUUAACGUAUCUCAUUUGUAAUUUUCUGCAGUUCUGGAUCUUCGCCACAAUUCAUGAGUUACCGAAGGUUCGUCUUGUACUAUCUCAUAUUUUCUAUGUUUUCAAGUUAUAUGAUUUGAUUGCAAGUGCGAUAUGUUUUGAUUGCAUUUCUUGUUUUUGAUUAUUUUUGAUCUCUCUGUGUA